UGGGGAAUAUUGGACAAUGGGCGCAAGCCUGAUCCAGCAAUGCCGCGUGGGGGAUGAAGCUUCUCGGAGUGUAAACCCCUUUCGACCCGGAAGAAUGCCCGCAAGGGUUUGACGGUACGGGUAUAAGAAGCCCCGGCUAACUACGUGCCAGCAGCCGCGGUAAUACGUAGGGGGCCAGCGUUGCUCGGAAUUACUGGGCGUAAAGGGUCCGUAGGCGGUGUGGUAAGUCGGGAGUGAAAUCUCUGGGCUUAACCCAGAGGCUGCUUCCGAAACUGCCGUGCUAGAGUGUGAGAGAGGCGAGUGGAAUUACGGGUGUAGCGGUGAAAUGCGUAGAUAUCCGUAGGAACAUCCGAGGCGAAGGCGGCUCGCUGGAUCACAACUGACGCUGAGGGACGAAAGCUAGGGGAGCAAACAGGAUUAGAUACCCUGGUAGUCCUAGCCCUAAACCAUCAGGACUUGGGGUUUGCCCUGUACGGGGCAAGUCCCGUAGCUAACGCGUUAAGUCCUGCGCCUGGGGAGUACGGUCGCAAGACUG
rnacentral:rRNA from 1 species